GGCCACUCCAAAUAAGAUGGAACAGAAUUGAGAUAUCUCACUCUGUAGUUAAAACAGAAAGCUCAACAUACAGG